rnacentral:misc_RNA from 1 species
AACGCACAUUGCGCCCAUUAGCAUUCUAGUGGGCAUGCCUGUUCGAGCGUCAUUUCAACCCUCAGGCCCUCGGCUGCCUGGCGUUGGGGCACCUACGGCGUAUGUAGGCCCCGAAAAACAGUGGCGGUGCUCGCCAGCACUCCGGGCGCAGUAGUUUCCUUCUCGCCCAGGACGUCUGGUGAUCAAUCAGCCGUUAAACCACCAAUUUUAACAAAGGUUGACCUCGAAUCAGGUAGGAAUACCCGCUGAACUUAA